rnacentral:misc_RNA from 1 species
AUGUCUCUUAAGGUAAAAAUGGAAAACGUACAGCAAAGUUCCAAUGGGUCUAGUUUCAAUGAUUAUAACGACGUCAAUUUGACUAUACGGAUUCUAUUUCAUGGCCGAGAAGUCGGAAAUGUGAUUGGUAAAGGAGGUGAAACUGUAAAAAAUAUAAGAGACCAGUCUGGUGCUAGAGUUUUAAUCUCUGAUGGUUCAACUCCAGAGCGUAUUGUUACCAUUACUGGAACUACAAAUGCAAUUUGUAAAGCUACUGAACUUAUUGGACUUAAAGUUGAAGAAUUUUUUGAGAGACAAAAUGGUGAUUGGAAUGGCCCAAAAGCACCUUUGACUUUUAAGUUAAUUGUACCAGCAUCUCAAUGUGGUUUCAUAAUUGGAAAAGGUGGAUGUAAAAUAAAAGAAAUUAGAGAAUCAAGUGGAGCUGCCAUACAAGUAGCAUCAGAUAUGUUACCCAAUUCAACUGAGCGUCUAGUUUCAAUUACUGGUACUACGGGCACAAUAUCUCAAUGUGUUUAUCAAGUGUGCAAUGUACUUUUAGAUUCUCCACCACGUAGUGCAACAAUUCCUUAUGAUCCUCGCAGUAAAACUUCAGGAUUUGCUAGUAGUGCAGUUGGUAAUGACUUUGGGAGACAACGCACUAAUCCUUUAGCCAGUCUAGCAGCUCUUGGGUUAGGAACUGCAUCGACUGGAGGUAUUAAUCCAGCUGCCUUAGCUGCAUUAGCUGGAAGUCAGUUGAGAACAGGUAAUCGUCAAAACCGAAAUGGUGGUGGGGAACAUAAAAAUCAAAAUUCUAAUUCAAACACUGAGACAAUAUCAAUGACUGUACCUAAUGACUUAAUCGGAUGUGUCAUUGGUAGAAGAGGAAGUAAAAUUGCAGAAAUUCGACAAAUAAGUGGUGCUUUAGUACAUAUAGCUAAAGGUGAAGGAACUCAUGAAAAUGGUGAGAAUGAAGAUCGGCAUAUAACAAUUACAGGAAACAAAGAUUCUAUUUCAGUUGCCAAGUACUUAAUUGAAAUGAGAAAUAUUGGUCGAACCGUUGAUGUGUUUUGAAUGUAUUGAUAUUUGAUAUAUUUUGGUUGAUAUAUUCACUAUCUUUAGCCGUCUAUUACUAGACGUUAAUAGAGCUAUUUUGAACUGGUGGUUUAUUUAACACUGACAAUCAUUUAAGGAGGAUGUUGCCAUGAUAUUAGAAAACUGGAGAAAUUUGCCAAAUUAUGACUUCCAUCUAUAAAUAAUUCAUCAUCUAAUUAUUAACAAAGAAGAAAAUUUCAGUUAUCCAUAUUUAAUGAACAAUGUGCUUAUAAAUUCAUUUGAACGAUUUUUAUGAAGUUGUAUGCUAACAACAUGCUUUAAUUCUUGAAAUUUUACCAAUUGUAAAAAUGACAACAAAUUAAGUAUUUGUGUACUUAACUAUUUUUAAGGAUAUUGA